CACAUUUUCUAAUAUUUUUAGUUAUUAGUUUUCUUUCAUCUGCACUAUACUUGGAUGCCGUUAUAUGCAGAGGAUAGAGGUUAAAAACCAAUGCUUUCGAGGACGCCGUAGACCCGCGACCUGGAGCAGCUCCAGAGGCGGUGAAUAAUAGCUCUCCAAGUCUGCAAUAAAAAAUGGCCUCCAAUAAAACUACAUUGCAAAAAAUGGGAAAGAAACAGAAUGGGAAGAGUAAAAAGGUUGAAGAGGCAGAGCCUGAAGAAUUUGUGGUGGAAAAAGUACUGGAUCGACGUGUAGUAAAUGGGAAAGCGGAGUAUUUCCUGAAGUGGAAGGGAUUUACAGAUGCUGACAAUACUUGGGAACCUGAAGAAAAUUUGGAUUGUCCAGAGUUAAUUGAAGCAUUUCUUAAUUCUCAAAAAGCUGGUAAAGGAAAAGAUGGUACAAAAAGAAAGUCUUUAUCUGACAGUGAAUCUGAUGAUAGCAAAUCAAAGAAGAAAAGAGAUGCUGCUGACAAACCAAGAGGCUUUGCCAGAGGUCUUGAUCCUGAAAGAAUAACUGGUGCCACAGACAGCAGUGGAGAAUUAAUGUUUCUUAUGAAAUGGAAAGAUUCAGAUGAGGCAGAUUUGGUGCUGGCAAAAGAGGCAAAUACGAAGUGUCCUCAAAUUGUAAUUGCUUUUUAUGAAGAGAGACUAACUUGGUAUUCUUGUCCAGAAGAUGAAGCUCAAUAAUUGUUUGCAUUGCUUUUUAUAUAUAUUUAUAUGUAUAUAUAAAAUCUGGGUCUUGGUUUUUGAUUUACUAGUGUGAAGAAAUAACUACAUCUAAUAAAUCAAGUUUGAUACAAAAAAAAAAAACCCAAUGCUUUCUCAAAGUAAACAUAUAAGCUCUCUGUACCUUUUUCUUUAAUUGCAAAUUGCUCCAAGAAAAGUUGUAGGUAUGAUAGGUAAGGCUAAGGAGUAGGCUCUCUCAGUGUUGGGUGUCUUAUCCUUCAUUUACUUUGAACUUCAUCACCAAGUUUAAAGUGAUU